rnacentral:rRNA from 1 species
CCUACGGGGGGCAGCAGUGAGGAAUAUUGGUCAAUGGCCGAGAGGCUGAACCAGCCAAGUCGCGUGAGGGAAGAAUGUCCUAUGGAUUGUAAACCUCUUUUGUCAGGGAGCAAAGUCACCCACGUGUGGGUGUUGGAGAGUACCUGAAGAAAAAGCAUCGGCUAACUCCGUGCCAGCAGCCGCGGUAAGACGGAGGAUGCGAGCGUUAUCCGGAUUUAUUGGGUUUAAAGGGUGCGUAGGCGGAUUGAUAAGUUAGAGGUAAAAUGUCCGAGCUUAACUCGGGAACUGCCUCUAAUACUGUUGAUCUAGAGCGUCGCUGCGGUAGGCCGAAUGUAUGGUGUAGCGGU